UACGAAGGGGGCUAGCGUUGCUCGGAAUCACUGGGCUUAAAGGGCGCGUAGGCGGGUGCUCAAGUCCGUGGUGAAAUCCUCCGGCUCAACCGGAGAACUGCCUCGGAUACUGGGCGUCUCGAGUGUGGUAGGGUAUGCGGAACUAUCGGUGGAGCGGUGAAAUGCGUUGAUAUCGAUAGGAACUCCGGUGGCGAAGGCGGCAUACUGGACCACCACUGACGCUGAUGCGCGAAAGCCAGGGGAGCAAACGGG
rnacentral:rRNA from 1 species